CAGCCAGGAAGCUUCGGGAAGCCUGGACGUCUGCUCACUGGAGAUGACACGUGCGUGGGGUGUUGGGUAAGUUGGUGCAUUGGAGCUGGAACAGGGUCAAUCCUCCAAUGUAACUAAGCCCUCCUGUGCAACAUCUUAAGUGACUGGAGGGACCAGUCGGUCUUGUGUUCACAUUGAGGCUAGAAGCUGUCUCCAGGGGAGUAAAAACGGAUUAUUUAGUCUUCAACAGGACACUGCCCCUAGAGGCGUUGCAGCUGUGGCUGCCGUGUCACAUCUGUGUCAUUAGGUGGCAGAGAUUAGAGAGGCUAUGUCUACGCUCAGCGUUCUGCCCCGUGAACGUUUGAAUGUUUGAUAGUCUCACACUCCUGUUUUGUGGACAGGCAUCUGUUUUCCUUCGCUGGUAUCUGGGAGAGAGGGUGGGCCCUGUGAGUGGGCUUUCUAACUCUCGCGCUGGGCUAGGCUGGCCUCUAGGGGUCUGAAGGGAUAGUGGGAAGGUGGAGGGUGCCUUCACCAGGAGCAGCCUUCAUGAGUGAGUUUUAAGAACCUGUGAGGAUCGGUCAGGUCAGGUGAGGUACGCGCUGGAUCAUGCCGUACACCGUGUCAGGAUCACGCAGGACAGGACUGGGGAAGGGUUUGCUGGCGUCUCGGUUAAUAGCAGUAACGGCAGCCGCUUGUGUUCUUGAUUCUUUGCCAAGCAUUCUUGUUAUUUAACACGGGAAGGAGGUGACUUCGCCUGUGAUGGACUUCCAGUGUGAGCACUGGCCAGAGUGACCAGGCUGACCAGCACCAGCCCUGAUCCAGAUGCAGAGGCCAGGAUGUGGGCCCAGCCCUGUGCCAGGAGGCUGGCUGGAAUAAAGGUACAGAUAGAGGCCUCACCCCCUCUGGGACCACUGGCACUCAGGGUGUUUGCAGCCUCAGAGCCCACCUGCCCCCAGGGCCACAGCUGCAUCUCCUGCCCUGCUGUCAUUACAGGGAUGGGCAGGCUGGCAUGGGGGCAGCCGCUGCCCCUGCCUGGGUGUUGCUGUGUAUUCCUGCCGGCCAGGGGCCACUGCCAGGACCACGCCUCCCUUUUCAUAUCCCGAUUCUUAAGUUCUGCUAUUGUGGUAUUCUGGUGGAGAAAAAAGAACCGCGUGGCUGUUUUUGAACUGCCUGGAACCUAAGACCCUGAAUUCUUUUCCCCCCCAAGGGGAAAAUCUAUAUGGAAAACAUUUAUUUUAAAAUACAGGAUGAAGUGAAUUAAAAGAUUUAAAUGCA
rnacentral:lncRNA from 1 species